rnacentral:rRNA from 1 species
AUGGCCCUGCGAGCGGCCGCGACGAGGCUCGCGUCCUCCAGCCUCCGCCGCCUCCGCCGCCGCCACGGCCACCUCCUGCCGGCAGCCGCCACCAGCUUCAGAUUCAAGCAGGUGCGCGAGGACGAGAAGAGCAAGCUGGUUGGAAAUGGAGAAGAUGUUCAGGCGCGGCGCGACGGGCGGAGCAGCAGAGGUUCAGGCGCCGCGCGGCGGGCGGAGCAGGAGAGGUUCAGGGGAGGUGCCAGCGGAGCAGGAGAGGUUCAUGGGCGGUGCCCUUGUCUAAUCUAA